UACGUAGGGUGCGAGCGUUAAUCGGAAUUACUGGGCGUAAAGCGUGCGCAGGCGGUUAUGCAAGACAGAUGUGAAAUCCCCGGGCUUAACCUGGGAACUGCAUUUGUGACUGCAUAGCUAGAGUGUGUCAGAGGGGGGUAGAAUUCCACGUGUAGCAGUGAAAUGCGUAGAUAUGUGGAGGAAUACCGAUGGCGAAGGCAGCCCCCUGGGAUAACACUGACGCUCAUGCACGAAAGCGUGGGGAGCAAACAGG
rnacentral:rRNA from 1 species